AUGGUACUCCCUCCGUCCGAAAAUACUUGUCAUCAAAAUGGACAAAAAGGGAUGUAUCUAGAACUAAAAUACAUCUAGAUACAUCCCUUUUUAUUCAUUUUGAUGACAAGUAUUUAUGGACAGAGGGAGUAGUAU
rnacentral:pre_miRNA from 1 species